AUACGGAGGAUCCGAGCGUUAUCCGGAUUUAUUGGGUUUAAAGGGUGCGCAGGCGGCCAUUUAAGUCAGCGGUUAAAUCGUGGGGCUCAACCCCAUUCUGCCGUUGAUACUGGGUGGCUUGAUUGCGGUCGAGGUUGGCGGAAUUCGUUGUGUAGCGGUGAAAUGCAUAGAUAUGACGAAGAACACCGAUUGCGUAGGCAGCUGACCAGACCGCAACUGACGCUCAUGCACGGAAGUGCGGGGAUCGAACAGGAUUAGAUACCCUGGUAGUCCGCACAGUAAACGAUGAAUACUUGUUUUCGGCGAUAUAAUGUCGGAGGCAAAGCGAAAGCGAUAAGUAUUCCACCUGGGGAGUACGCCGGCAACGGUGAAACUCAAAGGAAUUGACGGGG
rnacentral:rRNA from 1 species